GAGUUUGAUCAUGGCUCAGAACGUACGCUGGCGGCACGCCUAACACAUGCAAGUCGAACGAAGUAGCAAUACUUAGUGGCAGACGGGUGAGUAACAUGUGGGUAUCUGCCCUUUGGCCUGGAAUAACACGAGGAAACUUGUGCUAAUACUGGAUAAGUCUUUACGGAGAAAGCUUUAUGCACCAUUGGAUGAGCCUGCACUUGAUUAGUUUGUUGGUGGGGUAAUGGCCUACCAAGACUGUGAUCAAUAGCUGAUUUGAGAGGAUGAUCAGCCACAUUGGGACUGAGACACGGCCCAAACUCCUACGGGAGGCAGCAGUGGGGAAUCUUGCACAAUGGAGGAAACUCUGAUGCAGCGAUGCCGCGUGAGUGAAGAAGGCCUUUGGGUUGUAAAGCUCUUUCGUCGGGGAAGAAAAUGACUGUACCCGAAUAAGAAGGUCCGGCUAACUUCGUGCCAGCAGCCGCGGUAAUACGAAGGGACCUAGCGUAGUUCGGAAUUACUGGGCUUAAAGAGUUCGUAGGUGGUUGAAAAAGUUAGUGGUGAAAUCCCAGAGCUUAACUCUGGAACUGCCAUUAAAACUUUUCAGCUAGAGUAUGAUAGAGGAAAGCAGAAUUUCUAGUGUAGAGGUGAAAUUCGUAGAUAUUAGAAAGAAUACCAAUUGCGAAGGCAGCUUUCUGGAUCAUUACUGACACUGAGGAACGAAAGCAUGGGUAGCGAAGAGGAUUAGAUACCCUCGUAGUCCAUGCCGUAAACGAUGUGUGUUAGACGUUUGGAAAUUUAUUUUCAGUGUCGCAGCGAAAGCGAUAAACACACCGCCUGGGGAGUACGACCGCAAGGUUAAAACUCAAAUGAAUUGACGGGGACCCGCACAAGUAGUGGAGC
rnacentral:rRNA from 1 species